UGAGGGUUAGCUCAGUUGUUAGAGCUUAGGCCUUGUGACCGCAAGGUCCCGGGUUCAAAUCUCGUGAGAUGUAG
rnacentral:tRNA from 1 species